GAUGAACGCUGGCGGCGUGCCUAAUACAUGCAAGUCGAGCGAACAGACGAGGAGCUUGCUCCUCUGACGUUAGCGGCGGACGGGUGAGUAACACGUGGAUAACCUCCCUAUAAGACUGGGAUAACUUCGGGAAACCGGAGCUAAUACCGGAUAAUAUAUUGAACCGCAUGGUUCAAUAGUGAAAGACGGUUUUGCUGUCACUUAUAGAUGGAUCCGCGCCGCAUUAGCUAGUUGGUAAGGUAACGGCUUACCAAGGCAACGAUGCGUAGCCGACCUGAGAGGGUGAUCGGCCACACGGGAACUGAGACACCGUCCAGACUCCUGCGGGAGGCAGCAGUAGGGAAUGUGCCGCAGUGGGCGAAAGCUUGACGGAGCAACGCCGCGCGAGUGAUGAAGGUCUUCGGAUCGUAAAACUCUGUUAUUAGGGAAGAACAAAUGUGUAAGUAACUAUGCACGUCUUGACGGUACCUAAUCAGAAAGCCACGGCUAACUACGUG
rnacentral:rRNA from 1 species